GGAGAUGUUGGAUAGUUCAUACGUAAUGUCCACGCCUUCACAAACAGGCCAUACAAAUUAAACAUUAUGAUGUGAAAUGCAAGGUCGAGGAAUGCGAUCGCUCGAGUAGUCGACUUCAUGAUUAGCUGCUAGACGUUUUGAAGUACGUUGUAGUCUUGUAGAAGGCUUACGUAUUAUCGCUCUACACUACAAGCAUGUCCAUGUCACUGCAGUCUCGUUUGACAUUUGAACAUUUUGUUUUUGCUACUGAUUCUGUUAUUCUAGCCCUGCGAGGCCAAGACAAAAUAAACAUUCAAAAUUUCUAGCAAUUGAUAUACAGAACCCAAAUCCACCUUUAUUACUAGAAUCAAUUAUUUGGUUUGGGGAUGUUUCUAUUGAUUCCGAUGCUGUGGACGAUACUGUUAUGAGGCUCUAUUACAAAAAGUAGAAAUUUCCACCGCAUCAAAAAUCUAGGAUGAAAAACAACCAAAACUAGGGUUUCCAAUAAUCAGCCUUUGAAGAGUCAGAAUACACAAAUCCCGGGCUACAGUACAAUAAUAUUUUGUUUUUUAAGUAAUUAUUGGAUCAAGCAAAAAAUAGCAAUUAUUAUUUAAAAUUUUAUCAAAGCUACUUUUUUAAACCAUUAGACCAAUCCAAUUAGCCACUGCAAUUUUCUAGUGAUAGUUUAAAGAGAUUGGAGGUAAUGAGAAACUUUGGGUAGCCAAAACAUCUCCCUACCAAUUUAAAGUUAUUAUUUUCAAAAGGUUCACCUUCAACUCUUUAUCUCUAGACCUUCAUAUUCCCGUUCCAAAUGUAACUCUUUUAUCCAUAGACAUCGACACACUCAC
rnacentral:lncRNA from 1 species